CCUACGGGAGGCAGCAGUGAGGAAUAUUGGUCAAUGGGCGCAAGCCUGAACCAGCCAAGUCGCGUGAGGGAUGACGGUCCUAUGGAUUGUAAACCUCUUUUGUCGGGGAGCAAGGCCCGCCACGUGUGGCGGGAAGGAGAGUACCCGAAGAAAAAGCAUCGGCUAACUCCGUGCCAGCAGCCGCGGUAAUACGGAGGAUGCGAGCGUUAUCCGGAUUUAUUGGGGUUAAAGGGUGCGUAGGAGGAAGGUUAAGUCAGCGGUAAAAUGUCGGUGCUCAACACCGGCCUGCCGUUGAAACUGGUCUUCUUGAGUGAGCGAGAAGUAUGCGGAAUGCGUGGUGUAGCGGUGAAAUGCAUAGAUAUCACGCAGAACUCCGAUUGCGAAGGCAGCAUACCGGCGCUCAACUGACGCUGAGGCACGAAAGCGUGGGGAUCGAACAGGAUUAGAUACCCGAGUAGUC
rnacentral:rRNA from 1 species